rnacentral:lncRNA from 1 species
AGAGGAUGCCAUGAUCCAGCUCAAGGGGAUAUCAGCUAUGAAAGAGGAUUAGGAGCCUUGGGUUGGUGACAAAUGGCACAUGUCUCCUACCCAGAGCCUCUUAAGAUGUUCCCCACUUUCUGGAGUUCUGCUCUUUCCUGUAAGAUGCACAAGAGAGGCACAAAGAGAGGGCGAGCCAGGGAAUUUCUGUCUCCCCAGACUUCUGCUUAAUGGCACCUCAGAAGGAAGCCCUCAGACAAGGCACAAAGACACCAACCAGAGUGGAAGACAGGAGACAGGAACCAGUUCUGGCAGUCAUGGUCCUAAGCCUGGCUCUCCCCCAGGUCUGAGUUUCUGGCUGUGUUCUUCUGGAAGACACGUAACCUUGGAGGAAGGGUGAGCAGACAGCCUCAACUCUGACUCACACAAAAGAGAGCUCAUUGUUUUUUCCCUUGGCCACAUAAGCCAACCAGAGCAUAGGCUCCAGUCGGCCUGGCCUGCUGUGUCUGGGGCUCAAGUCUCACUUCACUACUUCCCAAUGGUGGACACG